rnacentral:snRNA from 1 species
GGCCUUGUGAGGGCGAUCUGGCUGCGACAUCUGUCACCCCAUUGAUCGCCAGGGUUGAUUCGGCUGAUCUGGCUGGCUAGGCGGGUGUCUCCUUCCUCCCUCAAUGCUCCAUAUGCGUCUCCCCCAAAGCUGCACGCUUGGUUGAAGUGGACGACCACCCCCAAUAGAGGAGGACCAUUCCUCAGUCAAGGGUAUACGAGUAGCUGUUCUUCCCUGCUAGAACUUCCAAACAAGCUCUCAAGAUUGGCCUUGCGCUAAUGUAACCCAGGGUGGCCUGGAAUUUAAGGCAAUCCUCCUGCCUCAAUCUCCCAAGUGCUGGGA